rnacentral:misc_RNA from 1 species
AUCCGAGCUCCCAAACCCUAGCGAUCCCGAGCUCCGAUUUCCGGCGACCCCCUCCGUUCCCCCCGCCGGCGAUCCGCGCUCCGAUCGGCCAUGGCCUCCCAGCAGACGGCCCCCGCUGCCCCCGCCGCUGCCGGAUCCACGCCCUCCGCCCAAGUGGUCGGGAACGCCUUCGUCCACCAAUACUAUCACAUCCUCCACCAGUCGCCGGAGUACGUCUACCGCUUCUACCUCGAGGGAAGCAAGCUCGGCCGCCCCGACUCCCAGGGCGGCAUGAGCUCCGUCACCGGCAUGGAGGCGAUCAACGAGAAGAUCCUCUCGUUGGAUUACAGCGAGAUCCGGGCGGAGAUCAAGACCGU